CCUUCGGGAGCUGACGAGUGGCGGACGGGUGAGUAAUACUUGGGAAUCUGCCCAGUAGUGGGGGACAACACGGGGAAACUCGUGCUAAUACCGCAUACGUCCUACGGGAGAAAGUGGGGGAUCUUCGGACCUCACGCUAUUGGAUGAGCCCAAGUCGGAUUAGCUUGAUGGUGGGGUAACGGCUCACCAUGGCGACGAUCCGUAGCUGGUCUGAGAGGACGACCAGCCACACUGGGACUGAGACACGGCCCAGACUCCUACGGGAGGCAGCAGUGGGGAAUAUUGGACAAUGGGGGCAACCCUGAUCCAGCAAUGCCGCGUGUGUGAAGAAGGCCUGCGGGUUGUAAAGCACUUUCAGUAGAGAAGAAAAGCCUGAGGUUAAUACCCUCGAGUCUUGACGUAACCUACAGAAGAAGCACCGGCUAACUCCGUGCCAGCAGCCGCGGUAAUACGGAGGGUGCGAGCGUUAAUCGGAAUUACUGGGCGUAAAGCGCGCGUAGGCGGUUUGGUCAGUCGGUUGUGAAAGCCCCGGGCUUAACCUGGGAAUUGCAUUCGAAACUGCCAAGCUAGGGUAUGGGAGAGGGAAGUGGAAUUUCCGGUGUAGCGGUGAAAUGCGUAGAUAUCGGAAGGAACACCAGUGGCGAAGGCGACUUCCUGGCCCAAUACUGACGCUGAGGUGCGAAAGCGUGGGUAGCGAACAGGAUUAGAUACCCUGGUAGUCCACGCCGUAAACGAUGAGAACUAGAUGUUGGGAGGAUUUGCCUCUCAGUG
rnacentral:rRNA from 1 species